UAGCACACUUAGAACAUCAAUUGCAAGGGUCAAUGAGUACGUUCUAACAGUUUUGUUCUUGUAAGGCACCUUCCACUGUCGGUGAAUCCGUGUGCUCCAUCGUCUUGCGUUGCCCCGUUGCCUACCUUCUCCUUCUCCUGUCGCGUGACAGAGCUCGGAGUGGCGCUGCCGACAUCUACAGGAGGAUAGGAGGGUUCCCACCAUUUCUCUUCCACUUCUUCUCAAGAACUGUGCUCUCUAAUGAUGUUUGGAUUCAUGGCUCCUUUGUCUGUUCUUGUGUUGGUCUUCUUCUCUGCUCGAGGUUGCUUGGCGGCCUCGUUCACGUUCGUCAACAACUGCCAGUACACUGUGUGGCCUGGCGUGUUGUCGAACGCCGGCAACGCGGCGCUCUCGACGACGGGGUUCGCCGUCGAGGCAGGCCAGUCGAGGAGUAUAGAAGCGCCGGCAGCGUGGUCGGGCCGCUUCUGGGGCCGCACCCUUUGCGCCACUGACUCCACCGGCAAGUUCAGCUGCGGGACAGGCGACUGCGGGUCGAGCAAGGUGGAGUGCUCCGGCCGCGGGGCGGCCCCUCCCGCCACGCUGGCGGAGUUCACCCUGGGAGGUGGAGGGAAUGGGACGGACUACUACGACGUGAGCCUGGUCGACGGCUACAACUUGGCCAUGCUGGUGGCGCCGCAGGGCGGGUCGGGGGGCGGCGGGUGCGGCUCCACGGGCUGCGUGGCGGACCUCAACGGGGUGUGCCCGUCGGACCUGCGGGUGGUGCUGUGGUCGGGAACAGGUGCGAGCGAGAGCGUGGCGUGCAAGAGCGCGUGCGACGCCUUCGGGUCGGCGCAGUACUGCUGCAGCGGCGCGUACAGUAACCCCAACACCUGCAAGCCGUCGUCCUACUCCCAGUUCUUCAAGAACGCCUGCCCCAAGGCCUACAGCUACGCCUUCGACGACGCCACCUCCACCUUCACCUGCUCCUCCGCCGACUACCUCAUCACGUUCUGCCCCGGCACGGCCUCCACCAGGUAAACAGUCGAAUUAAAGACAAGAGAUGAGCAAAAUGAUGCAGUUCGGAAUUGGAAUUCAUGGCUCUUUUCCGCAAGACAACGCGGUGGACGUGGCCGAUCGAUCAACAACCAAUGAUUUGUCUUCACCCCUUUGCCUUUUAAGCAUGACGUGAGAUCGAUCGUCUUAUGGGCCUUUGAGCUGUGAGACAACAGCAAAUGGGGGGGUCUUUACCAAUAGAUAUUACACGUUAGAUUGAUGCGACAUUACAACGAACACAUGCAAGCAUAAAGAACAGUAGAUAGUAGGCCGUCAUGUCAGUCGAAAUGGACACGCCACAUUACCCUCACCUACAAGUCCACUGAUGACAAUCCUGAUGCGACCGGCGGCUUGCCGAGGAACGAGGGGCUGCCAUCCAACGACGGCGGAGCCAUGGUGAUUCUAGGCGGAUACGAGUUCGGCCAAGCCUCACCGAGGGCGGCACGCGAG